rfam:Helianthus annuus linkage group 14, whole genome shotgun sequence.
GGGAAUUGCAAUGAGGAUACAAAGCUCCCUCUUCUGAGUUAGACUGAAGAAACUCUGCUGGCAGAAUCGAACCAAUUUUAAAAUCAUGCCAUCUGAGCAA